CCCUUAGAUGUCCUGGGCUGCACGCGCGCUACACUGAAGGAAUCAGCGUGGCUUUCUCCCUGACCCGAAAGGGUUGGGAAACCCGUUGAAUCUCCUUCGUGAUAGGGAUUGGGGCUUGAAAUUGUUCCCCAUGAACGAGGAAUUCCCAGUAAGCGCGAGUCAUAAGCUCGCGUUGAUUACGUCCCUGCCCUUUGUACACACCGCCCGUCGCUACUACCGAUUGAACGGUUUAGUGAGGGCCUCGGAUUGGUCUCGGCCCGCUCUUUACCGGGCGGCGCCGUUGGUCGAGAAGACGCUCGAACUUGAUCGUUUAGAGGAAGUAAAAGUCGUAACA
rnacentral:rRNA from 1 species